rnacentral:rRNA from 1 species
UACGAAGGGGGCUAGCGUUGCUCGGAAUCACUGGGCGUAAAGCGCACGUAGGCGGAUUGCUAAGUCAGGGGUGAAAUCCUGGAGCUCAACUCCAGAACUGCCUUUGAUACUGGCGAUCUCGAGUCCGGGAGAGGUGAGUGGAACUGCGAGUGUAGAGGUGAAAUUCGUAGAUAUUCGCAGGAACACCAGUGGCGAAGGCGGCUCACUGGCCCGGUACUGACGCUGAGGUGCGAAAGCGUGGGGAGCAAACAGG